CAGGAGUGAAUACCAAAUAGACACAGACCAAACUAGUACGACAGACUCUGCCAAAGGCAACCAGAAAUCCGGUCACCAAUCACGUCCGCGAGCGACAAGAAUGAAAAUCAGACAACAGCGAGCAGCGGUGCCGUUCACGUCUACUCCUACGGCAACGGCCUGUGCAAAUGCAGCAGCUUCAUUCCUGUUAUCAGACUGCGAAACUGAAGACGAUCAUCAGUUUAACCUUGACAAGAGAUGCUUUUCAGAGAAGCAACACACGGAAGAUAUUCUACAGAUAAUGGAACGGAGGAUGAAGCUGAUGGAGGACAAA